AUACGGAGGGUGCGAGCGUUAAUCGGAAUUACUGGGCGUAAAGCGUACGUAGGCGGUUGGUUAAGUUAGAUGUGAAAGCCCCGGGCUUAACCUGGGAACUGCAUUUAAAACUGGCGAACUAGAGUUGAGUAGAGGGGUGGAAUUUCAGGUGUAGCGGUGAAAUGCGUAGAGAUCUGAAGGAACACCAGUGGCGAAGGCGACUCCCUGGACUCGAACUGACGCUGAGGUACGAAAGCGUGGGUAGCAAACGGGAUUAGAUACCCCAGUAGUCC
rnacentral:rRNA from 1 species